rnacentral:rRNA from 1 species
UACGGAGGGUGCAAGCGUUGUUCGGAAUUACUGGGCGUAAAGGGCUCGUAGGCGGCCAACUAAGUCAGACGUGAAAUCCCUCGGCUUAACCGGGGAACUGCGUCUGAUACUGGAUGGCUUGAGGUUGGGAGAGGGAUGCGGAAUUCCAGGUGUAGCGGUGAAAUGCGUAGAUAUCUGGAGGAACACCGGUGGCGAAGGCGGCAUCCUGGACCAAUUCUGACGCUGAGUGAGCGAAAGCCAGGGGAGCAAACGGG